AGAAGUGCUAUACAGUUUUAAUAAACUUCGUCACUUCUAUGGGUGUGGACACUUCGCCCUGAAUGUGGAUAUUGUGCUACUGUAGCCUCUGUCCACCUAUGACGCUGAACGCCUGCGUUCGAACUCUGGUGGAACUUGGGACAAAAUUUAAAGCGGUGAUGAAUGCUGGCGAUUUUAUCGGGUUUAGGGGGUAUUACGGGGGUGGUCACUUGGCCAUUAAAGUAAAUAUAAGUUUCGUGCUCUACUUUCAGAAAUAUUUCAUAUGAGUCCCACAAUGGCACGAUUGGUAAAUAAUUUGUGUUUGACGGUGGGUUGGACCCCAGGGACUUUGUCCCGAAAAUGAAUUUAAAUUUCCCCAAAAAUCAAUAAAUUUUCACCCCAAA